rnacentral:rRNA from 1 species
AAUAGAUACCCCGGUAGUCCACGCCGUAAACGAUGCAUAUUAUUCGUAUGGGGUAUCGACCCCCUGUGCGGAGAAGCUAACGCGAUAAAUAUGCCGCCUGGGAAGUACGGCCGCAAGGCUAAAACUCAAAGGAAUUGACGGGGCUCCGCACAAGCAGUGGAUCAUGUGGUUUAAUCCGAUGCUACGCGCAGAACCUUACCAAGGCUUGACAUCCCGAUCGUCGGCCUAAGAAAUUAGGCUCUCAGUUCGGCUGGAUCGGUGACAGAUGCUGCAUGGCCGUCGUCAGCUCGUGUCGUGAGAUGUUGGGUUAAGUCCCGCAACGAGCGCAACCCUUGUCGUGUGUUGUAUUUUUCACGCGAGACCGCCCGGGCCAACCGGGAGGAAGGUGGGGAUGACGUCAGGUCUGCAUGGCUCUUACGCCUUGGGCCACACACGUGAUACAAUGGCCGGUACAACGGGUCGCGAAAGCGCGAGCUGAAGCUAAUCCCAUCAAAACCGGUCCCAGUUCGGAUUGCAGG